rnacentral:rRNA from 1 species
AUUGAACGCUGGCGGAAUGCUUUACACAUGCAAGUCGAGCGGCAGCACGGACUUCGGUCUGGUGGCGAGUGGCGAACGGGUGAGUAAUAUAUCGGAACGUGCCCAGUCGUGGGGGAUAACGUAGUGAAAAUUACGCUAAUACCGCAUACGAUCUAUGGAUGAAAGCGGGGGAUCGCAAGACCGCGCGCGAUUGGAGCGGCCGAUAUCAGAUGAGGUAGUUGGUGAGGUAAAGGCUCACCAAGCCAACGAUCUGUAGCUGGUCUGAGAGGACGACCAGCCACACUGGAACUGAGACACGGUCCAGACUCCUACGGGAGGCAGCAGUGGGGAAUUUUGGACAAUGGACGCAAGUCUGAUCCAGCCAUUCCGCGUGCAGGACGAAGGCCUUCGGGUUGUAAACUGCUUUUGUACAGAACGAAAAGGUUUCUAUUAAUACUAGGGGCUCAUGACGGUACUGUAAGAAUAAGCACCGGCUAACUACGUGCCAGCAGCCGCAGUAA